UUGGAGGGCAAGUCUGGUGCCAGCAGCCGCGGUAAUUCCAGCUCCAAUAGCGUAUAUUAAAGUUGUUGCAGUUAAAAAGCUCGUAGUUGAAUUUCGGGAUCAAUAUUUCGGUCAUGCCGUUGGUAUGCACUGUUAUCAUUGAUUUCUCACCUUCUAAAGAACCGUGAUGCCAUUAAUUUGGUGUUACGGGGAAUUAGGACUGUUACCUUGAAAAAAUUAGAGUGUUUAAAGCAGGCUCACGCUUGAAUACAUUAGCAUGGAAUAAUGAAAUAGGACAUCCGAUUCUAUUUUGUUGGUUUCUAGGAUCGAUGUAAUGAUUAAUAGGGAUAGUUGGGGGCAUUAGUAUUCAAUUGUCAGAGGUGAAAUUCUUGGAUUUAUUGAAGACCAACUACUGCGAAAGCAUUUGCCAAGGAUGUUUUCAUUAAUCAAGAACGAAAGUUAGGGGAUCGAAGACGAUCAGAUACCGUCGUAGUCUUAACCAUAAACUAUGCCGACUAGGGAUCGGAUGAUGUUAAUUUUUUAAUGACUCAUUCGGCGCCUUACGGGAAAC
rnacentral:rRNA from 1 species